rnacentral:rRNA from 1 species
CUCCUACGGGAGGCAGCAGUGGGGAAUAUUGCACAAUGGGCGCAAGCCUGAUGCAGCCAUGCCGCGUGUAUGAAGAAGGCCUUCGGGUUGUAAAGUACUUUCAGCAGUGAGGAAGGCGGAUGCGUUAAUAGCGUAUUCGUUUGACGUUAGCUGCAGAAGAAGCACCGGCUAACUCCGUGCCAGCAGCCGCGGUAAUACGGAGGGUGCGAGCGUUAAUCGGAAUUACUGGGCGUAAAGCGCAUGCAGGUGGUGUGUUAAGUCAGAUGUGAAAGCCCGGGGCUCAACCUCGGAAUAGCAUUUGAAACUGGCACACUAGAGUACUGUAGAGGGGGGUAGAAUUUCAGGUGUAGCGGUGAAAUGCGUAGAGAUCUGAAGGAAUACCAGUGGCGAAGGCGGCCCCCUGGACAGAUACUGACACUCAGAUGCGAAAGCGUGGGGAGCAAACAGGAUUAGAUACCCUGGUAGUCCACGCCGUAAACGAUGUCUACUUGGAGGUUGUGGCCUUGAGCCGUGGCUUUCGGAGCUAACGCGUUAAGUAGACCGCCUGGGGAGUACGGUCGCAAGAUUAAAACUCAAAUGAAUUGACGG